GAUGGAGCCAACCUUUAUUGGCCCAGGGGGAGGAAAAGAAUUCAGGAAUGGCAAAGUCUGAAGGAGCCAUUUCAUACACGACAAGAAAUAUUAGAGAAGAAUAAAUAAAGUCACUCUUGAGUCCAGCUUGUAAAGUGAUAGUUGAGAUCACCUCAUUUAUGGCAAGUAUUUGCCUGCCUAACCUGACCCUGGAAUGUAGACCCUACAUCACUGGUGAUGGUUCAGCGCUGGAAGGAGAUCUGUCUCGGCCCCAUCUUUUGCACCACUUGGCAUCCUUUGACCUCCUGUUUCCAGAUCCUUCGGCUGCCAAAGGUCGUUUUGGCUUAUGAAAGCUUUCACAGAAUGCUCUACUUUUGGAGACUGGGGGAAGCUGCAGUUAGAAUAAUGCCAGGUAUUUCCUGAAGCACAUUCUCCUCAGAAACCUUACAGCAAGGAAGGUACUGCCAGAGAAGAGGAUGUGGGCAUUUCUCCGUGCUGCCUGAGAUACCAUCUUGGUCGUGAAAGCCUCCAACCUGCAACCCCCACAACAGCAGGUAUGAUUUUCAGGAUCAAACUGGCUACGGUUGUUUUAACAAUGCCCAAAUGUGAGCAAGUAGACAGCAUCACACUUGCCUCGUGGGAGUAUAACUUGGCCUAGAGUUUCAGAAGUAUCAUUUUAUAACAUUUAUCAAAUGUCAUUUCAUUUUAGAAAUUCCUUUUUCAGGAAUGUCUGUCAGGAAUCUGAGAAGGCAGUGUGGUGAAAUGGUUAUAAGCAGAGACUUUGUAGGUCAGAGGAACUGAGUCGGAGCCCUGCCUUCUGCACUUACUGGUUGGCAGGAGGCAAGUGAUUUACCUUCUCAAGGCUGUUCUCUCCUCACGAAUGGAAUGAGACUCAUGACAAUGAGGGUUAAAUGAGGUAACUCAGGUACUUAGCCCAGUGACAGGCACAAAGUAAACAGUAAAUAAAUGAUGGCAAUUAUGACUAUGUUAGAUGUGCACAGAGAUAUUAACUUCAGUAUUACUUAUAGUUGCAGAAAAUUAGAAUCCAGCUAAAUAUCAAGUAGUAGGGCACAGGGUAAAUACAUUUUGUCAUUUAUGCUGUGGAAAACUAUGAAGCAGUUAAUGAUAAUAUUUUGAAGAAUAUUUAAUGACAUAAAAAUGUCCAAUGGGGGAAAAAAGCUAAUGUGUUCCAUUGAUUACUAUAUGAUACUCUGUGCUGGUUUUAAUAUUUUUAAAA
rnacentral:lncRNA from 1 species